GAUGAACGCUAGCGGCAGGCCUAAUACAUGCAAGUCGGACGGGAUUCAGGAGCUUGCUUCUGAUGAGAGUGGCGCACGGGUGCGUAACACGUAUGUAACCUACCUUUAUCAGGGGGAUAGCCUCUCGAAAGAGAGAUUAAGCCCGCAUAAAAUCACAGCACAGCAUUGUGUAAUGAUCAAAUAUUUAUAGGAUAAAGAUGGGCAUGCGGAACAUUAGCUAGAUGGCGGGGUAACGGCCCACCAUGGCGACGAUGUUUAGGGGAUCUGAGAGGAUGGCCCCCCACACUGGUACUGAGACACGGACCAGACGCCUACGGGAGGCGGCAGUAAGGAAUAUUGGUCAAUGGGCGGAAGCCUGAACCAGCCAUGCCGAGUGCAGAAAGACGGCCCUACGGGUUGUAAACUGCUUUUAUACGGGAAUAAACCCAGAUACGUGUAUCUGGCUGAAUGUACUGUAAGAAUAAGGAUCGGCUAACUCCGU
rnacentral:rRNA from 1 species